CCUCACUCUGGCAUUGUGGGCUGCUCCAGCAAGCCCCGCAUUCUGAGGCUUCGUUGGGUGAGGAGCAGACACCAGUGUUUGUGCCUCUAAACUUCAGAGGACAGAUGUUAAUUUCUGCUGAGAAUUUCCUUAUGCAGUACUGGGUGCAGCUAUAAAUUUCUACAGCUCUGCCAAGGAUUUAUGUUAAUAGAAGCCAUCGCUUAACAUCUUGGGUCUCAACUUAGCUUUAAAAUAGGGAAGAUAAAAUCCACUUCAUAAAGUGGUAAAGUUUGAAUCAACUCACGUAAAGUACUUAGAACAGCAUCAGAAACACGGACACCUGGCUUGUACUUCAGGAGGGAAUCCCACAGGCUCCAGAUUAAAUUUUCUUCAAAUGUCUUCCCUUUCUCCAGCCAUGGUCACAAUGCCACUGACCACUGAGUGAAGACCUGUGAGUCCUUCUGCCAUGUGAGGACCUGGCAUUCUUCCUCUGUGGAGGACACAGCAUUCAAGGCGCCAUCUUGGAAUCAGAAUCACUAACCACAUCAAAGCCUAAUACUGGACUUCCCAACCUCCUAAACU
rnacentral:lncRNA from 1 species